rnacentral:lncRNA from 1 species
AUGUCCCUGUUUGAGGAGGAGGGCUCAGCCUGCCGCAGCUGGCUUGGGAGCACAGCUGGGGCCUCUGAGGGGACAGCCCCACCUCCAGCAACCACGUGUGAGUGGCUACAGGAACCACGGGGCAGAUGGAGAGGACCCAGCUACACUGCAGGCCUGGCAAAUGGCAGAUGUUUGACAGGACAGUGAGGCCAGGAGAAUGAGAAGGAGGGGGUCAUACCCACAUCCUUAGGAAAACUGGCCAGACGUGGGCUUCUCAGCAUAGGUAAGGAGCUGGGUGGGGGGUGGGGGGUGUGGGGAGAAGGGAGGGAGGAGGGGAGAAGAAGGCUGCUGGUUCCAGAAGGUUCCAACACCAUCAGAAUCUGCAUCCUCUUCCGAGGACCGGAUUUCUGCCGCACUGUUUUAUGUGAAUUAGGAUGAGCAAUGAGAGACAAUUUCAGCCCAAACCCAGAGUCAGUAACUAGUCUAUUGAAACGUUAAAGUUUCUCAGGGUGAGACCCAGCUGGGUGGCAAAGUCCCUGGGUUCCUAAGUGACAGAAACUAAAAAAGAAGAAGGAAAGAUGCAAUGACAAUAAGUAACUAGAAUAACACUCUUGAGAGUCCCUUGGACAGCAAGGAGAUUAAACCAGUCAGUCCUAGAGGAAAUCAACCUCGAAUAUUCAUUGGAAGGACUGAUGCUGAAGCUGAAG